GAUGAACGCUGGCGGCGUGCCUAAUACAUGCAAGUCGAGCGAACAGACGAGGAGCUUGCUCCUUUGACGUUAGCGGCGGACGGGUGAGUAACACGUAGGUAACCUACCUAUAAGACUGGGAUAACUUCGGGAAACCGGAGCUAAUACCGGAUAAUAUUUCGAACCGCAUGGUUCGAUAGUGAAAGAUGGCUUUGCUAUCACUUAUAGAUGGACCUGCGCCGUAUUAGCUAGUUGGUAAGGUAACGGCUUACCAAGGCAACGAUACGUAGCCGACCUGAGAGGGUGAUCGGCCACACUGGAACUGAGACACGGUCCAGACUCCUACGGGAGGCAGCAGUAGGGAAUCUUCCGCAAUGGGCGAAAGCCUGACGGAGCAACGCCGCGUGAGUGAUGAAGGUCUUCGGAUCGUAAAACUCUGUUAUUAGGGAAGAACAAACGUGUAAGUAACUGUGCACGUCUUGACGGUACCUAAUCAGAAAGCCACGGCUAACUACGUGC
rnacentral:rRNA from 1 species